UACGUAGGGUGCGAGCGUUGUCCGGAUUUAUUGGGCGUAAAGGGCUCGUAGGCGGCGUGUCGCGUCGGGGAGUGAAAGCCCGUUGCUUAACGGCGGGUUGGCUUUCGGUACGGGCAUGCUGGAGUGCGGCAGGGGGAGACUGGAAUUCCUGGUGUAGCGGUGAAAUGCGCAGAUAUCAGGAGGAACACCGGUGGCGAAGGCGGGGUCUCUGGGCAGUAACUGACGCUGGAGGAGCGAAAGCGUGGGGGAGCGAACAGG
rnacentral:rRNA from 1 species